rnacentral:rRNA from 1 species
UACGUAGGGUGCAAGCGUUGUCCGGAAUUAUUGGGCGUAAAGAGCUCGUAGGCGGUUUGUCGCGUCGAAUGUGAAAACCCGGGGCUCAACCCCGGGCCUGCAUUCGAUACGGGCAGACUAGAGUUCGGUAGGGGAGUCUGGAAUUCCUGGUGUAGCGGUGAAAUGCGUAGAUAUCAAGAGGAACACCUGAGGUGAAGACGGGUUGCUGGGCCGACACUGACGCUGAGGAGCGAAAGCGUGGGGAGCGAACAGG